UACGGAGGGUGCAAGCGUUAUCCGGAUUCACUGGGUUUAAAGGGUGCGUAGGUGGGCAGGAAAGUCAGUGGUGAAAUCUCCGGGCUUAACCCGGAAACUGCCGUUGAUACUAUUUGUCUUGAAUAUUGUGGAGGUAAGCGGAAUAUGUCAUGUAGCGGUGAAAUGCUUAGAUAUGACAUAGAACACCAAUUGCGAAGGCAACUUACUACACAAUUAUUGACGCUGAGGCACGAAAGCGUGGGGAUCAAACAGG
rnacentral:rRNA from 1 species